rnacentral:rRNA from 1 species
GACGAACGCUGGCGGCGUGCUUAACACAUGCAAGUCGAACGGCAAGGCCCUGCUUUUGUGGGGUGCUCGAGUGGCGAACGGGUGAGUAACACGUGAGUAACCUGCCCUUGACUUUGGGAUAACUUCAGGAAACUGGGGCUAAUCCCGGAUCGGAGCUCCUGCUGCAUGGUGGGGGUUGGAAAGUUUCGGCGGUUGGGGAUGGACUCGCGGCUUAUCAGCUUGUUGGUGGGGUAGUGGCUUACCAAGGCUUUGACGGGUAGCCGGCCUGAGAGGGUGACCGGCCACAUUGGGACUGAGAUACGGCGCAGACUCCUACGGGAGGCAGCAGUGGCGAAUAUUGCACAAUGGGCGGAAGUCUGAUGCAGCAACGCCGCGUGCGUGAUGACGGCCUUCUGGGUGUAAACCGCUUUCGCCUGUGACGAAGCGUGAGUGACGGUAAUGGGUAAAGAAGCACCGGCUAACUACGUG